ACAAAUCUUUUCAUUAUUCCGGGAAAAAGAUCGAUCGGUAUGCUUAGUAAUAACUAUUUUAGGGUAAAAAUCUCAUAUUGAAAAUGUACUUCCCAUCAUAUAAGUUUCAAAUGAUUUCAAUCUGCUCGAGCACAUACUCGCCAUCAGUAGAUGUAUGAUUGCAUCAAGAUUGAUAUGGCAAGCUUUGAAGAUCCAGAGGCUGCUGAAAAGGCUGUAGAGGCUCUUAAUGGAAAUGACAAUGCUGGAAAAAUAUUAUAUGUUGGACGUGAUCAGAAGGAGAUCGAGCGACAGGCUGAGCUUAAGGAAAAGUUUGAGCGCAUCAGGAUGGAGAGGAUCAACAGGUACCAGGGAGUCAACUUGUACGUCAAGAAUUUGGCCGAUAACAUCGACGAUGAGCGACUCAGAAAGGAAUUUGCUCAGUUUGGUACCAUCACCAGUGCCAAGGUGAUGGCUACUGAAGAUGGAAGAUCCAAGGGAUUCGGAUUCGUUUGCUUCUGUUCUCCAGAGGAAGCAACAAAAGCGAUCGUUGAGAUGAAUGAAAAAAUUAUUGAGGCAAGACCUCUGUAUGUGGCUCUGGCUCAAAGGAAAGAGGAUCGUAAGGCUCAACUUGCAUCACAGUACAUGCAGCGCACUUCAAGCAGGGACAUGCCAGUAACCUUUUCGCAUCUGUGUUUUUGUUUUUAUUUUUUUUUAAAAAUGUUUUAAACUAUAUAAUUAAACUAUUAAACAUUUCCUUAUUUUAUUGAUCGUUUGAUUUUAAGGAACACCGAAUAGGACCAGGAGUAAAUUUGUUUAUAAAGAACCUUGACAAGAGUAUCGAUGAUGAGAAAUUGCGAGAGGAGUUUUCUCAGUUUGGUACCAUCACCAGUGCCAAGGUGAUGACUAAAAAUGAUAAAUCGAAAGGUUUCGGAUUUGUGAGCUUUAGUUCCCCAGAGGAAGCUUCUACUGCUAUCAGUGAAAUGCAUGGAAGAAUUGUUGUUGAUAAACCUCUGUAUGUGGCUCUGGCUCAGAGGAAGGAGGAUCGUAGGGCUCAUCUUGCUCUCCUCAACAUGCAGGAUAAUACAAGUAUCGACAAGCAGGGAGAACAAAGAGAACUGGGAGUCAACGUGUACGUCAAGAAUCUGGAUGACAACAUCGAUGAUGAACGACUCAGAGAGGAGUUUGCUCAGUUUGGUACCAUUACCAGUGCCAAGGUGAUGACUGAAGAUGGUUUGUCCAAGAAAUUUGGAUUCGUUUGCUUCAGUUCCCCAGAGGAAGCCAGCAAAGCAAUCGAGAAGAUGAAUGGAAGAAUCGUUGUAGCUAAACCUCUAUAUGUAGCUCUGGCACAGAAAAAAGAGGACCGCGAAGCUCAUCUUGCUCUCCUCAACAUGCAGGAUAAUACAAGUAUGGACAGGCAGGGAGAACAAAGAGAACUGGGAGUCAACGUGUACGUCAAGAAUCUGGAUGACAACAUCGAUGAUGAACGACUCAGAGAGGAGUUUGCUCAGUUUGGUACCAUUACCAGUGCCAAGGUGAUGACUGAAGAUGGUUUGUCCAAGAAAUUUGGAUUCGUUUGCUUCAGUUCCCCAGAGGAAGCCAGCAAAGCAAUCGAGAAGAUGAAUGGAAGAAUCGUUGUAGCUAAACCUCUAUAUGUAGCUCUGGCACAGAAAAAAGAGGACCGCGAAGCUCAUCUUGCCUCCCAGUACAUGCAGCGCAUGCGCAAGCUGCAGGGACAACAAAAAGCACUGGUGAGCCAAAUGUUCCAGUAAGGAAGAGUUGGAUACUUUUUACCCACAAUGCCUCAAGCCCAGUGUACUUGCAUGGAGAGUACUUGAGAGGCAACUUUUAACUUGUUUUUGAUUGGCUGAAAAGCAAACACAUGUAUAUGAUAAAGGAAAUCCAUUACUAUGUAUUUGUGAACAUUUGAUUUUUAGUUCAUCGAAACAUUCAGAAAAUGUAUAAUUAUCUAUCGGUUUAAAUCAUACAAUAAUGGGUAUGAUUUUGAAAGGAAUCCAAUUACAGUGUAUUGUUUAAAUCAUGAUAACAAUGCGACAAUUUUACGAGAAUUAGUUUAAAUGUAAAAGUAGUUAAUUUGAAUCAUGACUGAAUGAAUUUGAACACUUACUCAAUUUAAUGAUAGACCUCUGAUUAUUUAUUCAUUGUUUUUCCCUUUACUUAUGUCAUUUUUCAUAUUUGUGUAUGUACAAUGGUCUCCUGUAAAAUACCCACUUCUGUACUUUACUAUGUUUAAUUUGUAUAAUCUAAUAAGCUGCAAAGCUUAAAGAAAUAAAGAAUGCAAGUUGCAAUUAUAUUUAUCAUCAACUGACCAAUUACCUAGAUUUACCAAUAAAUUAAUUAAUUAAUUAACAGUUACUCUAGAUCUUAGUCCUGAGUGAGUGACAGUCUCCAUUUCACCUUGAUCAGAUUUCAACGGCUGAAAAAAUGGCUUUGAUAAUAAAUCUCGUUUAACAU
rnacentral:misc_RNA from 1 species